UACAGAGACCUCAAGCGUUAUCCGGAAUCAUUGGGCGUAAAGCGUACCGAUAGGUGGUCUCAAAAGUCAGACGUGAAAUCUCAAGGCUCAACUUUGAGACUGUCUUUUGAAACUUUUAGACUAGAGGGGCAAAGAGGAAGCUGGAACGAACGGUGUAGUAGUGAAAUGCGUUGAUAUCGUUCGGAACACCAAUAGCGAAGGCGGGCUUCUGGGUGCCACCUGACACUGCUAGGACGAAAGCGUGGGGAGCGAAUGGG
rnacentral:rRNA from 1 species